rnacentral:misc_RNA from 1 species
GGGUAGAGUAUAAUUAGUCUUCGGACUUCCUUAUACUUAUCC